rnacentral:rRNA from 1 species
CGUACACUCCUGCGGGAGGCAGCAGUGGGGAAUAUUGCACAAUGGGCGCAAGCCUGAUGCAGCGACGCCGCGUGGGGGAUGAAGGCCUUCGGGUUGUAAACUCCUUUCGCUAGGGACGAAGCUUUUUUGUGACGGUACCUAGAUAAGAAGCACCGGCUAACUACGUGCCAGCAGCCGCGGUAAUACGUAGGGUGCGAGCGUUGUCCGGAAUUACUGGGCGUAAAGGGCUCGUAGGUGGUUUGUCGCGUCGUCUGUGAAAUUCUGGGGCUUAACUCCGGGCGUGCAGGCGAUACGGGCAUAACUUGAGUGCUGUAGGGGUAACUGGAAUUCCUGGUGUAGCGGUGAAAUGCGCAGAUAUCAGGAGGAACACCGAUGGCGAAGGCAGGUUACUGGGCAGUUACUGACGCUGAGGAGCGAAAGCAUGGGUAGCGAACAGGAUUAGAAACCCGAGUAGUCCCAUGA